CCACAAGGAGGAGAAGGAAAAAGCCCAUAGAUGACGCAAAGACAUAUAUUCUGUCUUGCACUGACAAGGAUGGUUUAUUUCGAGAUUCAUUGACAGUUGUAAAGGAAGAGGAGUUUUUGCCACACACCCCAUUGAACCAGGGGACUUUGUCUUGGAGUAUAGGGGUAAACUCCUGACACAGGAAGAAUGCCGGUCAAGACAAUACUCAGAGAUUGAAAGCACAUUUCUCUUUGACUUUGAGUAUCGGAACAAUCGCCUGUGCCUGGAUGCAUCUGAAGAAGAUGGAUCUCUCGGACGACUAGUCAAUGACAACCACAAAAAUCCAAAUUGUGCCAUGAAAAAAAUCAUAGUUGACGACAAGCCACUCUUGUGCCUUUUUUCUCUUAAGAAAAUAGGAAUAGGAGAUGAAACUGAUUAUGACUAUGGUAAAGCAAAAUGGCCUUGGCGUACUGAGGUGAAAAAAACCCAAGCUCCUGCAGCAACAGAAGAAAAGCUAUUGAGUGGUAAAGACCAGGUGAAAGGCCUUCAGACUCCUGCAGCAGCAGUUGAGAAUGAGACCAGCCCUGUUCCUAUGACGUUAAAUGAUGGACCAAUCCCAGAUGAUCCCUGCACACAGG